rnacentral:rRNA from 1 species
AUGAGUGAUUUUGUAGCAUGGAGUUUGAAUAAACAUGGAAUUUUUACAGUGAAAUCAGCCUACCAUGCUCUAUGGUACUACCAGCAUGGCCGUAAAUCGGAGAGGACAGAUGGUUUGGGCGCCACUAGUGCUAACCCAACAUGGCAAAAGGUUUGGAAACUGAAUUGCCCGGCAAAAGUUAAAAAUUUUCUUUGGAGAACCUUACAUGGAACGCUGCCAUGCAAUGUGGUUCUUGCUAAUAGACACAUCCCAGUCCGGCCGACGUGUCCUGCAUGUAAGCAAGGAGCAGAAGAUGUGUUUCAUGUACUCUUUCGAUGCCAUAAGGCCAGAGAGGUUUGGCGGCAGUUGGGGCUAGAGGAUGUUAUACGCCAUGCAUGUGGGGUAGAUCGAGCAGGGGAGGAGAUUCUAUCAUACUUAAUUAAUCUACCAGCACAAGAAGCGGCCGUGCUGGGAGUGAAAAACUUCCAUGACUUGAUGUCCACUUGCUGCUGGUACCUAUGGUGGUAGAGGAGAAAGCUUGUGCACAAUGAGCCGGUGCAAGAUGCGAAGAGAGUUGCGCAAGCAGUAUGUGCUUUAGCAGCUAACUAUGAUAUUGCAUGUGAUCCAAAGGCCGCGUUAAAGAGGGAAGGUUGGUGCAAACCCCCUAGUGGAUAUGUCAAGUUAAAUGUUGAUGCGGCCUUUGAUUGGGAUUUGCUUCAGGGGGCGAUGGGAGCGGUCAUCCGAGAUGAUAGAGGACAUAUGGUUGGAGCUGAAAACAAGCUCAUUGAUUCCUGUUAUGAUGUACUAACUGCUGAGGCAAUGGCUUUGAAGUUUGGGUUGAAUAUGGCGCUCACAGCUGAGUGCAAUAGACUGAUUGUCAACUCGGAUAAUGUGAAACUCAUGGAAAUAAUGAAUAAGGAUGCCAAUAUGCUGGAGAUGCCGCGGCCAUUGUUGAUGAUUGUUAUCAUCUGGCUUGUGAAUUUAGCUCUAUUGUCUUUGAAUUUUGCCCCAGAGAGUCAAACGUGA